GUUUGAUCAUGGCUCAGAACGUACGCUGGCGGCACGCCUAAUACAUGCAAGUCGAACGAAGUAGCAAUACUUAGUGGCAGACGGGUGAGUAACAUGUAGGUAUCUUCCCAUUGGUGAGGAAUAACACGAGGAAACUUGUGCUAAUACCUCAUAAGUCUUUACGGAGAAAGCUUUAUGCGCCGAUGGAUGAGCCUGCACUUGAUUAGUUUGUUGGUAGGGUAAUGGCCUACCAAGACAAUGAUCAAUAGCUGAUUUGAGAGGAUGAUCAGCCACAUUGGGACUGAGACACGGCCCAAACUCCUACGGGAGGCAGCAGUAGGGAAUCUUGCACAAUGGGGGAAACCCUGAUGCAGCGAUGCCGCGUGAGUGAAGAAGGCCUUUGGGUUGUAAAGCUCUUUCGUCGGGGAAGAAAAUGACUGUACCCGAAUAAGAAGGUCCGGCUAACUUCGUGCCAGCAGCCGCGGUAAUACGAAGGGACCUAGCGUAGUUCGGAAUUACUGGGCUUAAAGAGUUCGUAGGUGGUUAAAAAAGUUGGUGGUGAAAUCCCAGAGCUUAACUCUGGAACUGCCAUCAAAACUUUUUAGCUAGAGUAUGAUAGAGGAAAGCAGAAUUUCUAGUGUAGAGGUGAAAUUCGUAGAUAUUAGAAAGAAUACCGAUUGCGAAGGCAGCUUUCUGGAUCAUUACUGACACUGAGGAACGAAAGCAUGGGUAGCGAAGAGGAUUAGAUACCCUCGUAGUCCAUGCCGUAAACGAUGUGUGUUAGACGUUGGAAAUUUAUUUUCUGUGUCGCAGCGAAAGCAAUAAACACACCGCCUGGGGAGUACGACCGCAAGGUUAAAACUCAAAUGAAUUGACGGGGACCCGCACAAGUAGUGGAGCAUGUGGUUUAAUUCGAAGAUACGCGCAGAACCUUACCAACACUUGACAUGUUCGUCGCGACUUUAAGAGAUUAAAGUUUUCGGUUCGGCCGGACGAAACACAGGUGCUGCAUGGCUGUCGUCAGCUCGUGUCGUGAGAUGUUGGGUUAAGUCCCGCAACGAGCGCAACCCUCACUUUUAGUUGCCAUCAUUUAGUUGGGCACUCUGAAAGAACUGCCAGUGAUAAGCUGGAGGAAGGUGGGGAUGACGUCAAGUCCUCAUGGCCCUUACGUGUUGGGCUACACACGUGCUACAAUGGCAUUUACAAUAGGAAGCAAAACGGCGACGUUAAGCAAAUCCUAAAAAAAUGCCUCAGUUCGGAUUGUACUCUGCAACUCGAGUACAUGAAGCUGGAAUUACUAGUAAUCGCGGAUCAGCGCGCCGCGGUGAAUACGUUCCCGGGUCUUGUACACACCGCCCGUCACACCAUGGGAGUUGGUUCUACCUUAAGGCAAAGUUUAAUACCUUUGACCACGGUAUAGUCAGCGACUGGGGUGAAGUCGUAACAAGGUAGCCGUA
rnacentral:rRNA from 1 species